UACAACCUCACUAUCCCUCUCCUUUUUUUCUUGAACAUUCUCUCGUCCGUACACCUGAGACCUCCAACUCUCUAACACCUCCAAAACUUCACGGAUCGAACACGAGCUUCAUGUCAUCAUGUUUUCCGUGGUCUCUCGAGUAUAGUGACACCUUUGGAACGAAGAACAGUUCAUGGGAACCCGAGAACUUAGGAGCUCUGGUGGGGUACUCUGUUUUCCCAACGUGAUCGUCGAGGUUUUUCUUGGUUUUGAGACUCAAAAAGUUUCCAGCGACGUAGCGGCGGAUUCUGGCAAACCACCAGAGAAGACAAAGCAUAUUCUGUCAACUUUGAUAGAAUGUUAUUAAUGGCGUCAGGUGAGACGUUUCCGAAGGAUAAGUGCAGUUAGGCAAGACUCGGGGGUUACGACCCAGCUACAUACCAGUUCUAGAUAGAAGUUCUUACUGGUGGCUCACGAGGACUCCACGGCGGUUCUGACAGACAUCCAUCAGUGUAGGGUUUCUUUUAUGAUCUGUAUAUUUAGUAAUUAGACUUCUGGACCGCAUUCUGAUACCUACACUCUGGUUGUGUUUGUAUUUACACUCUAAACACUUUCUCUCGUACUUAUAUGCUAGUCUAGUGUAAAUUAGUUAGUUGGUUUUUGUUUACCCACAUUUUUAUAUAUCAUUCACUUCCGCAUAGCGCACAUGGCUACGUCACCUUCACGUGACGGCCAGCCUGACUCGAUUGGGGUCGGGGUGUGUCAUAAAUCUGUAUUGAUCUAUUUCAAAAUAUGAUAAAAGA